CACCGGUAACGACCAGAGGACGGUGAGAUACUUUGCAGUUACCCAGACGUAAAAAAGACCAGGCGCAGAGUUACGCUGUCACAAACACAAGUCAAAAUCAUGAAGUCCAUGCUGUUCUUGUUACUUAUUGCCUUGGUGAUCUCCAGCAGUAUUGUGCGAGCGAAUUGGUUCGGCAAAAGAGAUGACAAAGAUGAUGGGUUUCAACAGUUCCUUACAGAGAAAUUGUCACAUCACACAACAUCAUCAAAACUGGCCGACCGGGCGGCGUUAGCGGCAAUAGCCCAAAUUAUCCAGAGCUGGCUCAACAACUCCGAAGACAGGAGAGAAGUCUUCAAGAAAAUGACAUAGUGCUAACUGGCGAACGGGUUGUCGCCGGCACAGCCUUCUUGGCCACGACGAGAUCGUCACUCUCCUACAACCUCGGAACAUUUCAUCAGAGGUUUUUUUUUGAACAACUGAGAUUAUUUUAUUUACGACUCGCUUCUGGUAACCAAGCACAUGUGUCAACAGAGGAAAAGAAAAUCAGUUUUCGAACUAAUCAUUAUAAAUCAGUGAUUUGAUUUUUGGUCUGCAACUUGUAGGCUGAGAUUGCACAUGCAAAAUUAAACAAGUUACGAAUUUGUGGGAUGACUUUUUUCUCUUAAUGCCCGAAGAGAAUUCUACAAUGGCUAUGCUGCUAACUGGUUAGACCUGGGCAAGAGCAGCCAUUCACAGCUUCUGCCACAAACAGAACACACAUGGCUUUAGUAUUAAGACCAUCGUGGUGAGUGGUGCCAUUGUGUAUCAUACAUAGGCCUGACCUAGCAGCCCUCGGAACUAAUUACAUCUUCAAAAUAUACACGCUAUUUCAGCUCUUUCAAAUUAUGUGACAUUUGAAAAGGAUAUAUUCAGUUCAAUAAAAAUCACUUUAAUGUAAUCAUAAAUUUUACUGUUUGUUGUGUAAGAACCCGUUUGACAAAUGCUGACGAUAUUUUAUCUUUUAAUGUACAAAUGCUUUUUGUGGGUGAUGAUGUUAAAUAACCGUGAGCAACGCCACCACAGAGUUACGCCUUAGACACAACUUAUAACGGCCACAAGAACAUACCGCAUAGGCCAAGUGCUUAGCGUGCUAGCGCAGCAUAAUGACUGCAGAGGCAAUUCUCCAAUGCGACGCUGAGAGUUCAAGUCCAGCUCAUGGUGGGUUUCUCUCCAAACGUACGAUGGGAGGUCCGCAACUUGCGCGUUAUGGUGUGUUUCUCCCACCAUAAUAUGGAAAUAUACAUGGAGUACGGCGUAAAACACCCAUCAAAUAAAUAAAUAAAUAAAUUUUAUUAUCAUCCUCAAA